rnacentral:rRNA from 1 species
CCAGACUCCUACGGGAGGCAGCAGUGGGGAAUAUUGGGCAAUGGGCGCAAGCCUGACCCAGCAACGCCGCGUGAAGGAAGAAGGCUUUCGGGUUGUAAACUUCUUUUAAGAGGGAAGAGUAGAAGACGGUACCUCUUGAAUAAGCCACGGCUAACUACGUGCCAGCAGCCGCGGUAAUACGUAGGGGGCAAGCGUUAUCCGGAUUUACUGGGUGUAAAGGGAGCGUAGACGGCAGUGCAAGUCCGGAGUGAAAGCCCGGGGCUCAACCCUGGGACUGCUCUGGAAGCUGUAAAGCUGGAGUGCGGGAGGGGCAGGCGGAAUUCCUGGUGUAGCGGUGAAAUGCGUAGAUAUCAGGAGGAACACCGGCGGCGAAGGCGGCCUGCUGGACCGUAACUGACGUUGAGGCUCGAAAGCGUGGGGAGCAAACAGGAUUAGAUACCCUAGUA